GUAGUCGUUGGAGGGGAGAGAGCGGAAGCGAACAUCCAAGGAGUCUGUACCAGGAAGCGGGAAGUCUCAGAGCCUCAGAGGACACCCAGUGUGGUUCCAGCACCCACAUGAAGGCUCACAACCGCUUUAAACUUGAGUUUACGUGGUCCAGCGCCCUCUUCUGGUCUCCUUAGCAUUUGUGUGCAAUAGGAAGGAACCUAGAAGCAGAGCUCGAACUUGGAAGAAAUGUCUAUUUGCUGGAGCAUUUAAAAUUUAACCACGGGGUCCAAAGAGACAGCUCAUCGGUUUGCAAGCAUUUGCUCCUUGCACGGAGGAUCCAGCUCGUGUCCCCAGCUCCUACACCCACCUGUCACUUCAGUUCCAGGAGACCCAAUGCCCUUUUCUCAUCUCCUAGAGCCCCAGGUGUGCUUACCGACCUGGACAGGCAGACAUGCCGGCAAAACACUCAUCGCCCAUAAAAUGAAAUAUAUAAAUUUAAAAA
rnacentral:sRNA from 1 species